rnacentral:lncRNA from 1 species
GAAAAGCAGCGGAGAAGAGGAUCAAUUCAGUUGUCUCGCGAUACGCAGGAGAACUGAUUGCCUGGGACGUGGUCAAUGAGAACCUGCACUUCAGCUUCUUCGAGGACAACCUCGGCGAAAAUGCUUCCUCGAUGUAUUACUCGAUGGCAUACAAGCUCGAUCCGACUCCAAGAAUGUUCCUGAACGAGUACAACACCAUCGAGUACAGCGGAGAAGAGAAGGCGAGCCCGGGGAACUACAAGAAGAGGCUCCAGGAGAUAUUUUCGUACCCUGGGAAUGAGGAUAUACCGGCCGGGAUAGGAGUGCAAGGCCAUUUCGGCACCGGCCAGCCAAACUUGGCUUACAUGAGAUCAAGCCUAGACAUUCUGGCCACAACUGGUGUGCCCAUUUGGCUCACAGAGGUGUUUGUGGAUCCAGGAGCUAACCAGGUAUCGGCAUAUCUUAGACAAGAGGUGAUCAUGCCCUGGGCAGUUCACCCGGUCCGGUGGGCCGGAAGGGCAAAUGGGCCAGGUCAGGCGAGCGACUCUUUUUGCGGCUGGCCCGGCCAGCUCACCUUGGCCCAUUCGAACCCUAUCAAUUUCAGAUUUGCACACUUCGAUCAUUUUUCAAUAGGAGGAGCAGAAACAUGACUUAAAGCUUUUGGCUAUUGGUCAAUUGAAGACUUGAGGCCACGAUAAGGUCACGAACUCGCCGUCCGGUGAAAUUCAGACAUUGGAAAUGACACGUGGCAGCCGAUGCCUGAAUUCCAUCGACAGGGACUUGGAGAAGCGAGUGGGGCUUUUUUUAAAACCUUCAAUUGACCAAAAUAAAACCUUUAUAUUCUAAAUUGACCAACAGCCAAAAGGUUAAGUCGUGAUUUUGCACUUAUCUCCGCGCAAAUAUGAAAAAAAUUGGCACUCUACAAUCCAUAAAGGGAUUUCUGUCAUUGCAGGCUCAGAACUUGGAGGAGGUGCUCAGGGAGGCUUACUCCCAUCCCGGGGUGGAAGGGAUCAUAAUGUUCGCCGGCCCCGUGUACGCUGGCUACAAUUCCAUGGCGCUCGCGGACAAGAACUUCAACAACACUCUGGCCGGGGACGUUGUGGACAAGCUGAUCCAGGAAUGGAGAUCCAAGGACCUGGAGGCUCGCGCCGAUGAGGAAGGGUUCCUCAGCACUACACUGCUCCAUGGAGAGUAUGAGAUCUCUAUCACCGAUCCAAUUUCAAAUUCCUCUUCCACUUCAAGAUUUGAAGUGACCAGAGAUAGCUUUAGGAAAAUUUACCAUUUUCACAUAUAAUGAAUUGUCAGCUACAAGCUCCUAUGGAGCUAGGGAUAGUGCUUUUAUUGUUGAUUGAUAGUUGCUAAGUUAAGAUUAAUCAGAAAGGGUAGAUAUAAGGACCUUUAAAUGCCAAGCAUUUUAUUUUUUGGUCAAAAAAUGCAUUGCAUAUGUAAUUAUAACCUGAAAAGAUCAUGUCAAUACCAAGUAAAUAAUGUUUAGUCAUUUCUCGAAAGCUUCUGCAAUGUAAUAUCGUAUCAUGUACCAAUCCCACCGCUAGUGAUACCAAUCGAUAAAAAAGUCCAAUAAGCUAACAAAUCUCAUCCUCUAGACGGCGAAUGGUACAUUUUUGUCCUUAGGUAGAUGGAGUAUUGUCGACAAUUGAUCAUGAGAAUGGACAUUUCGAACGACAUACACGUUUUAAUUUGCCAGAUUUCGAGAUACUCUACAUCACAUAAAAAUCCCAAAUCCAAAAAAAAAAAAAAAAAAAAAGAACAAGUCGAAAGAUUUUUUUUUUUUUGGGCUUUAACUUUUAGAUAUGUAUUUAGUCUAACCAACUAAAAGAUUUUAAUUGGCAUUUAAAAUCACUCAAAAAUUAAGUAGAGGUACAAAAAUUUAAUGGGAUAUAUUCACUAGAAAUUUUAAAAUUUGUUACAAAAGUGUAAUUGAAUCCUAAAACUUUUAGAAUGUGCAAUUACAUCUUAAAACUUGUCAAAUUUAUGCAAUCAAGUCAUAACAUUAACUCCGUCCAAUUUGGUUAACGGAAAAUGCUAACGUGGCUUUUUUAUUAUUAUUUUAUCUCUCCUACAUGGCGCUAAUGUGGCUAAAACAAGCAAUAUAACUCCAAAACGAUGUCAUUUUGGUCCAAAUUUAAUUUUUAAUACAAAUAUUAAUUAAAUUAUAAAAAAAAAAAAGAGCGAACCAGCCGGCAAGCUCCCACUACCAUUGUCCCACCAAGAGCCAACGAUGGUGGGGUGAGGGUCAACCGUGGUCAAUAGGCCUCAGCCAAUGGCCAACGACCCUAGCCAAUUGCAAGCGAGCCCUCAUCAAGAUCUCAGGUGAGGGUCGCAACUAGGGAUGUGAAAAAGAACUAAGAACAACUCGAAACCAGACUAAAUUGGACCAAAACCGGUGGUUCCCAAGGGAAUUGGUUCAGUUCGCCUCACUGGAUCUAAACAAGCACACAACGUCGUCACCUCACUCAAAUCUAGCAAGAGGCUAGGUGUCACAGCCCUCGCUUGUGGCUAAUGAGUUACCGGCCAUCACAAAGGUCUCAAGGACUAGCGUGGGGGGGGGGGAGAGGAAUAGGAAUUAAAGAUAAAGAAUAAUGGAAAAUUCUUUUUAAAAAUCAAGAAUUUUUCACAUCAAUGCCAAUUGCGCAACAGAAGAUAGUCAAUGCUGAUUGGACCACUACAUUAGUGAUUUCUAAUCAAAAUUUGCCGAAAAUACUACAUUGGUAAAUUGUUAAAAGGUUUAUGAGUGAAUUGGACAAAUCAAAAUGUUUAAAAUUGAAUUCACCACUAUCCAAUAGAUUAAAAACUUUUUAUAUAAUUUUUUACAGCAAUUUUGUUCGGGCAAAGUUGAUGGUAUAAUGGGUUAUAGAAGAAACAAGGUUUUAUAUACCUAUCGAUAAAAUGGGUAUGAAAAUAUCAUAAUUAUUUAUCAAUCAGUAUGUUUUUUUAUUUGUAAUAUGACAAUAGAAUAAACGAGGGUAUGAUUGUAUCUCAUCAUAGGGUACAAUGGGUAAUAUCUUUCACAUUCCUAACUUGUUUCUGGUAUAACUCUAGGAAUACCAAAAAAAAAAAAAAACAUAGUUAUUCCAUUCUGCAAACCAAAACGUACAAUAGCCCUUCUAUUCCUAUUCUACAGUAUCCAUUUGCAGGUGAUGGUCAUUUCAUUCUUACCUCUUUUACCGCAUAACCUAUUGAUAGACCUUGGGGUUUAAAAUAUCUAAUCUGGAUGUUGAAUAAUUUCAGGACUGCGUUACAUUGGGUAACUACACUAAAGAGAAGGGAAAUCUACAAAGUGGGAUAAGAAUACCAUCUUCGCAGACCUCACAUUACAAAAGUCUCAUAUUUUGUAUCUCAAUGUAUAUACUUACUAUUUUUUGUUUUAAAUGCAUAUCAUGCUUUUGAAAAGUAGACUGGUUUUGGAACCACCUCACAUGCAAUAAACAACAUUUUAAAGGGGACGGUACCCACUCAUAGUAUAAGUUUUUUUAUUGUUGUCAAACUUACAGUUUGACCACAUCUAGGUCAUGUCCCAUUAAUUUCGCCCUAGAUAUCUCCUCAAAGCAAAAUUAUAAAAAGUCAAUUAUUUAUCCUAAAGUCCUUAACCAACUUAUUUAUGAUUUCCCAAUAUAAUCCCAACAAUACGCAAGCCACAGAGCACACGCACGUGCGAGUUUUACCAAAUUAAAAAAUUUAUGACCGAUUAGAUAAUUCUGCCUAUGCAUACCUACACCGAUCCCCUCAUAUCUAUGCUUUUCCCCCUCUUUUUAAGUGGAACCCUCUUUGCUGUACUCCAUGUUUAAGUGCACGCCACCCAUUGCCAAUGUCUCGAGUUCAAAAAAAGAAAAAGAAAAAAACAUUGCCAAUGUGUAAAACAAGAAACAGGAUCUACAUCCUGACUCGAAGGAUCAUCUUGGGGCCAAUUAAAGUCCACAGGCACAUGCCCUAAGUCCCUCUGCGCAACUUAAAUUGUGAAAAUGAAAAUGAUCUAUGCAUGAGCAUGGCCUCCAAGCAUUUACAAUUCCAGGGAACGAUUAUUACUCUUCAAAAGAAUUGCUUGGGAUCAGGCUAGGUAAGAUUGGAUGUAUUGGAGUUAGACUAGAAAUCCAUAAUUUUUUGGAUUUGUUCUUCAAAAGCGUUUCUUGUGGGAAUUGUUUUUACAGGGAAUGUUCCAUAGCAUCAAUCUCCGAUUGAUGGGAUGAAUAAAAAUGUGGAAAAAAGGAAAAAAUUUCGGUUUUUAAUAAGAACUGAACCGAAUGAAAACCGAAUUUUUCGGUUCAGUUUGGUUCGGUUUUUGACGCCCCUAACCCCAUGUUUAAGUGCACGCCAACCAUUGCCAAGUGUAACUCAAACAAGGAACACGAUCCUACAUAAUCCUGACUUGAAGGAUCACUUUGGGGCCAUUAAAGUCCCACAAGCAUUCGCCCUAAGUCCAUCCACACAACUUAAAUUGUAAAAUGAAAAAGAUCUAUUCAUGAGGAGUCGACCUCUAAGCAUUUUUGCAGGGAAUGUUGUACAGCAACAAUUUCCCAUUGAUGGGAUGAAUAUAACUAUGGAAAAGAGAGAAUAUUCUACUUUCUAUCUAGAUGCUUUUAUGUAUUUUCUAAUCAAAUGUCUGAAUUUUUAGUUUGUCUAAUUAAGUCCUUCUAUAUUCACAAACUUUCUAAUUAGCACAUUCUGACGGCAAAUCCAGCCAAAUUCAAUUGACAUAGAUCGUCAGGUGACAUCAUUGUACAAUUUGGAUACAAUUUUUUAUAAUGUAAACAGCCACGUUGGCAGCCAUAUUGGUUAGAUUUUUUCCCCAUCAUACUCCGAAGUUGUCUACAUCGACUACUUCCAUCCACGAUCGCAUAUUUGGAUUGCAUUAUAUUUCUGCAUCGUCCAAAAAUCACGAUGUCACCUAAAUUUUGUCAAAUUAGUGUAGGAGUGACAUGAUCAAAAUCCUUGUGAAAGUAAAAACAUUUGAUUAGAUAAAUUGAAGUACAUUAAUAUGAUUAGGCGCAAAAGCACAUGGAUGAAAAAUAAAACUUAUAUCGUCUUAAAAUGAAAUCAAGUAUCACUUUAUCGAUCAUGCUUGUAAAAUCUGGUACCUUCACUAGUUUCCAUUUCAUUUAACGCGUCUUUCCAAAACUUACCUUCAUGACUCAAUAUGCUUUUUCAGAGUAGACCCCACAAGUUUAACUUUUUCCCAAACUCGACCCCCCCUCGAUUUUCCAAUAUGUUCUACCGUCAGCAGAUCACAACAAAAAGACCCCCAUAAUGUGCAUACGGAGCAUGAGCGUCAUAAAGAUUAUGGUAACAAAUAUAGCAGAAGUCCACUUUCUGUUUGUGUCCAAAAAAGAAAAUUUUCCAACAUUUUCAAUGGUACUUUUAGGAUUCCCAAUUUGCCCUUCUUCUGAAAUUUCAAAGAAAAAUAUAAAAUGGGUCCUGCAUAAUUGAUUGUCGAUAUGAUAUUUAUAGAUCAUAUAAUAAUUUCCCAAAUAAGAUAUAUCUAAAGUUUAUUUUUAAAGAAUAUUUAUGUUGCACAUAGGCAUUGACGGGGUGUCACAGUCAAAAAAUUGCAAUCAACAUACUCAUCCAAGAAAGAAUUCCUUCAAGACAGCAGAACUGGCAAUCCAACAGUAAAAGGCAAGGAAAAGCUUGCUUCCAAUUCACAAAAGUGUCUUUUUUCUUUUGGCUUUAUUUCCUUGAGAGCAAUGCCAACUGCUAAGACUUGUUGAGUGAUAAGUCGGACUUUUGUUGGGUGGUGACUAUCGGCAAGGUAUUUCAAUGCCAACUCGUCAUUUGUCGCAUCACUCCGAGUAUACUUGUUUAGUGUACGGGUCUUAAUACAUAUGCAUUAUCUCUUUUCUUAAUGUUCUUUGAAUUCACGUCACAUCAUAUGAUUUGAUCUCAACAGCAACUUGGACACCGUUAUCCCCCGCAUUUGAUUAACACAUUUGCCAAAGUAUCACACAUCACCUAUCUAUAUAGUUUAGACAAAUCUCGUAUUCAUGUGUUCUACUUUGUGCAAGCUUUUGAUUGGACAGUCCGACAUCUAUCGGAACCAAAUUAAGUCCCAGUGUCAAGCUCCUUAUUUGUAAUUCCAUGCAAAAGAGGGUAUUGAAGUAUUCCACAUCACUUGUAGAAUAUGGUUGCAAGGGGGCCUUAUAUUUGUCUCCUUCCACCUAAUUUCUAUGCCAAUUUUGGGCUACUGCUCAGUUUGAGUAUUUAUAUAUGUGGGUUUGAGAAAAGAGUCACCGGACGUGUAAAAAACCGAGGAUGAUCAGCUUCAUCAGGUCACCAUUUAAGGAAACAAGGAUAUACCUGUUUCUUGGUUGACAGGCUGUCGCAUGCUUAUUCGCAUUCACAUGAGGCCUUUGCUCUUCUGACAUGAUUAUGAUUCUUACAGGCUUUUCUAGAACUGCUCUAAUUGCUGGAGCGAUGAGAAGUUCACCAGGAUUCAACAUGUUCUUGUUUCUUUCUCUCGCAUUUGCAUUGCUGUCCUUAGGAUCAGGUACCGAUUUCUCUCGUUUAUUUAUAUCUUCUUGAAUUAUUUUCUCUUGAUCAGUGACCUUGGAAGAGCAUUUUUACUUGAGUUCGGCAUCCCUUGCUCCAAGUGUUUUUUGAUAAAUUUUCUCGAUUGUUUCAAUGAAGUCGACUCUGAAAUUGGUUUAGCAGUUGUAAUGUAACAUGGACAGUUAAGCUAAUGCUUUCUUUUUCAAGCCAUUUCAGGGCAAAUCACACAGACUGUCUUCGAUGAUUAUUAUGAUUCAAUGGCGACAACACAGGCAAGAUCAAAUUCCUACGCACUAUUUGCGACUUCUGAGCACGUCAACAUGUGAAUAUCAGUUCAUAUUUCAUGAGCACUGCUGCUAAGUCAAAUUCAAGAAUUUGUCCUCAAAAUUGGGCGAUCAGAACUCGAGAUUGCCGCUCAAAAAAAUGAACUAGUUGAAUGAAUUACUCUAAUGAUUUGCUGAGUGGCACAAUUUCUGUGUUGCCUUGAAAAGAAAUAGUUAGGAGUUUCCAGGAACGACACUAAGCAGAUUAUGUAAUCCGAGUCUUACGUAUUCAAUUAUAGCAGUGUUUGACGGAGCCGGGGAGCCUUAUGUAUGGAGGUGGGGUCAUACUGAACCCAGAGUUCAUCCACGGCACUUCCGCAUGGACCUUGUUUGGGCAAGGAGCAACUGAAUUGCGCAUAUCGCAUACCAACAACAGGUUCAUGGUGGCUCGCGAUAGGAAACGCCCGUCAGACAGUUUCUCUCAGAAAGUCCAGCUCGAGAAGGGAAUGUUCUACGCAUUUUCUGGUAAUUAUGCGCUCUGCUGUUUCUAGAGAGAGUACACGUUGAAAUUGUUCAUGUGACGCCGUAAAUUAUGUGAUAUGCCAGUUCACCGUUCACCGGAUAUACUCGUAUAGUUUUGUUUAUUUGUGAAGAAUUGCUAAUUGCAACAUUAAGAAAUGUGAAAACGCGAUUGUUGACCGAGCUAGGAUGAUUUGUUGCUGUCUUUGCAGCUUGGGUACAAGUAAGUCAAGGAAGCGAGACGGUAUCGGUGGCGUUUCGAACUGGAGAUGGCGAGUUUGUCCGUGGAGGCAGUGUUGUGGCCGAGCAAGGGUGCUGGUCUUUGCUGAAAGGAGGCAUCGCCGCGAAUUCUUCGAGCACAGCUGAUGUUCUUUUCGAGGUGAAGGGCAUUCAACUUUCCAUUACAUCUACUUCUGAAUCAUUGAAAAGUUGCAAGACACGAGUGCUAGGCAUAUGUUGAUUCUGAUUGUGUUGUGACAGAGCAAGAAUAUCUCGACAGAGAUAUGGGUCGACAAUGUCGCAUUGCAGCCGUUCUCGAAGAAGCAAUGGAGGAAUCACCAAGAAGAAAGCAUAGAGAAGGUAAUACGAAAAGUUUUUUUAUACGAAAAGUUUGUAUGAAGUUAGUUCGAAAAACAUAAAGGAUCGUCGCAAACUUCGAUCUCACAGGUACGGAAAAGCACAGUGAGGUUCCAGAUAACUUCUGUGAACGAAAGAGGACUCGGGGUCGGAGGAGCCAAUGUUCUCAUCAAACAGACCAAACCAGGCUUUCCAUUCGGGUGCGGCAUGAACUUCCACAUCCUUGAGAGCGCCGAUUACCAGAACUGGUUCGCGUCGCGAUUCAGAUACACCACUUUCACCAACGCAAUGAAGUGGUACAGCACGGAGGCAAAACAAGGCCAAGAGAACUACACAAUAGCCGACGCAAUGCUGAAGUUUGCGCAAGAUAAUAACAUUUCGAUCCGAGGCCACAAUGUCUUCUGGGACAACCAGAAGUACCAGCCCGAUUGGGUCAAGACCCUUGCCCCCGAUGAUCUGCGAAAAGCAGCGGAGAAGAGGAUCAAUUCAGUUGUCUCGCGAUACGCAGGAGAAUUGAUUGCCUGGGAUGUGGUCAAUGAGAACAUGCACUUCAGCUUCUUCGAGGACAACCUCGGGGAAAAUGCUUCCUCGAUGUAUUACUCAACGGCAUACAAGCUCGAUCCGACCCCGAGAAUGUUCCUGAACGAGUACAACACCAUCGAGUACAGCGGGGACGAGAAGGCAAGUCCGGGGAACUACAAGAAGAGGCUCCAGGAAAUAUUUUCGUACCCCGGGAAUGAGGAUAUACCGGCCGGGAUAGGAGUGCAAGGCCAUUUCGGCACUGGCCAGCCAAACUUGGCAUACAUGAGAUCAAGCCUAGACAUUCUGGCCACAACUGGUGUGCCCAUUUGGCUCACAGAAGUGUCUGUGGAUCCAGGAGCUAACCAGGUAUUGGCAUAUCUUAGAGGCGAUCAUGCCCUUGGCAGCUCGCCCAGUCCGAUGGGCCCGAAAGGCAAAAUGUGGUGGGUCAGGCGAGCGAUUCUCUUUUUGCGGCUGGCCCGGCCCGCUUACCUUGGCCCAUUCGAACUCUAUCAAUUUCAUGUUUGCACAUUUCGAUAAUUUUUCAAUAGGAGAAGAGUAUAAACAUUACUUAAAGCUUUUGGCCAUUACUCAAUUGAAGACUUGAGGCCAUGAUAGGGUCUUGAGUCUGCCGUCGAUGGAAUUUAGACAUUGGAAAUGACGCAUAGCAACCGAUGCCUGAAUUCCACCUAGGGAGACCUCGAAAAGCGAGUGGAGCUUUUUUUAAGACCUUCAAUUGAACAAAAUGAAACAUUUAUAUUCUCAAUUGACCAAUGGUCAAAAGGUUAAGUGCAUGCAUCGCCUUUUUUUUUUCAAUGAAUGAAAGUGCAAAUAUAAAAAAAUUGGCACUCUACAAUCCAUGAAAAGAUUUCUGGCAUUGCAGGCUCAGUACUUGGAGGAUGUGCUCAGGGAGGCUUACUCCCAUCCCGGUGUGGAAGGGAUCAUAAUGUUUGCCGGCCCCAUGUACGCCGGCUUCAACUCCACGGCACUCGCGGACAUGAACUUCAACAACACGCUGGCCGGGGACGUCGUGGACAAGCUGAUCCAGGAAUGGAGAUCCGAAGACCUGGAGGCUCACGCUGAUGAGGGAGGGUUCUUCAGCACCACACUGCUCCAUGGAGAGUAUGAGAUCACCAUCACCGAUCCAAUCUCAAAUUCCUCUUCCGCUUCAAGAUUUGAAGUGACCAGAGAUAGCUUCAGGAAAAUUUACCAUUUUCACAUAUAAUGAAUUGUCAGCUACAAGCUCCUAUGAAGCUAGGGAUAGUGCUUUGAUUGUUGAUUGAUAAUUGCUAAGUUAAGAUUAAUAAGAGAGAGUAGACAUAAGGACCCUUAAAUGCCAGGCAUUUUUUUUUUUGGUCGAAAAAUGCGUUGCGGGCGCUCCUGCAGUGUAAUAUUGUAUCUUGUACUUAUCCCACCGCUAAUGAUACCAAUCGAUAAAAAAAAAAUAAUAAAUCAAUGAUACCAAUCGAUAAAAAAAAAAAGGCCAAUAAGCUAACAAAUCUCAUCCUCUGGAUGGCAAAUGGUACAUUUUUGUCCUUAGGUAUUGUAGACGGAGUAUUGUCGGCAACUGAUCAUGAGAAUGGACCUUUCGCACAACAUACAUGUUUUAAAUUUGCAAGAUUUCGAGAUACUCUGCAUCACGUAAAAAUCCCAAAUCCAAAAAACAAGGAACAGGUUGAUUUUUCUUUUUUUUCUUUUUUUGGCUUUGACCUUUAGAUUUAGUCUAACCAAUUAAAAGCUUUUAAUUGGCAUUUGAAAUCACUCAAAAAUUAAGUAGAGGUACAAAAAUAUAAUGGGAUAUAUUCACUAGAAAUCUUAAAACUUAUUAUCAAAGUAUAAAUAAAUCUUAAAACUUUCGGAAUAUGCAAUCAAGUCCUAAAAUUUGUUAAAUUAGUGCAUUCAAAUCAUUCCAUUAAGUUUGUUUAAUUUGGUUAAGGAAAAUGCUGACUUAGCUUUUUUUAUUAUUAUUCCAUCUCUCCUACGUGGCGCUAAUGUGGCUAAAACAAGCAAGAUAACUCCAAAAUGAUGUCAUUUUGAUCCAAAUUUUAUUUUUAAUAUAAGUAUUAAUUUAAUUAAUUUUUUUCAAAAGAGCGAACUAGCUCGUAGGCCUUGCUACUGCUGUCCCACCAAGAGCCGAUGAUGGUGGGGUGAGGGUCAACCAUGGUCAACAGGCCUUGGUCAGUGGCCAACGACCCUAGCCAAUCACAAGCAAGCUCUUAUCGAGAUCUCUAGCGAGGGUUGCAAUUAGAGACGUGCAAAAAAAUCAAGAAGAGCCAGGAACCGGCUGUUCCCAAGGGAAUUGGUUCUGCUCGCCUCGUUGGAUCUAGACAAGCUCACAAUGCCAUCGCCUCACUCAAAUCUAGCAAGAGGCUAGGGUGUCGCAGCCCUCGCUUAUGGCCGGUGAGUUACCAGCCAUCACCUAGGUCUCAGGGACCAAUAGGGGAAAAUAGGAAAUAAAGAUAAAAAAAUGGAAAAUUCUUUAAAAAAAUUCAAGAAUUGUCCAUAUUAAUGCCGAUUGUGCCACGUAAGAUAGUUAAGGUUAAUUGGAUCAUUAGGUUAGCGAUUUCAAACAAAAAUUUGUCGAAAUGACUACAUUGAUAAAUUGUUAAAAGUCUUAGUAGUGAAUUGAGCAAAUCAAAAUGUUUAGAAUUGAAUUGACCGCUAUCCAAUGAAUUUAAAACUUUUUAUUUAAUUUUUACAGCAAUUUUGUUUGGGCAAAGUUGAUGGUAUAAUGGGUAAUAGAAGAAACAAGGUUUCUAUACCCAUCAAUAAAAUGGGUAUGGAAAUAUCAUAAUUAUUUAUCAAUCAAUAUGUUUUUUUUAUUUGUAAUAGGACAAUAGAAGAAAGGGCUAAUUUUGCUGGAGGGAGGACCCGAUGGGUCGGUUCUCGAUGGCAUCGACAUGGGAGGCCAUUAGGCAAAAGAGGAGUCGUGUCUUUUGGCAUGUGUUCAUCUAGAACAAUGCAAUCACUCCUCGUUACCAGUUAAACCUCUGGAUUAUGGCUAAGAGCAGAGUUCCCACUCAAGCUCUCUUAUUGUCGUAUGGCAGAAUUGACACUGGUUCUUGUGUGUUUUGCAAUGAGUUGUUUGAUUCCAUGGACCAUCUGUUUUUUGGAUGUCGUGUCAUGGCCGGUAUUGCUUUCUUCUGGGUGGCUAGAUGCAAUUUGCCCUGGCGUAAUAGGUCUUGGAGGGAGAAUCUCCAUUGGGCCACCACUUUUUUGAUGGGUAAGGAUUUCUACAAGUGCAUCGCUUGCUUCUCUUUUGAUGCAUUAUGUCACAUUAUUUGGGGGAACAGGAAUAGCAUCAUUUUUAGGGACCAACUUCUUACUGUUCCGGCUAUAAAGAACCACUUGUUCAAAGUGGUUAGAGAUAAAGCUAUCACAUUUAAGAACGUUAAUGAUAAUUUCAGGAACAGAAGGUUGCGGCGGAGUUGGGGCCUUGACCCAAUUAUUUUCUCUGGGGACCCCUAACCCUGCCGUGCCAUUGCUAGGGGUUUUCUUCUAAGCUACGGUGGUUGUUUUUGCAGCGGUGGUCUCCCUCCUCCUUUGAGGAGUUUUUGUUCUGGUCGUCGGUUUUUCAUGCCAUGAUUGUCUCUUGUUAGCUUGGCUUCCUUUUCCUGGUUGCCUUGUGUUGUUGCUUUUACAUCUCGGCAUCCGUCCACUCAUUAUGUCCUCUCAUCUUGAGUGUAUGUUUUCAAUGCCAUGACCUUUUGUACAUUUGGCCUUUCUCCUAUAUAUUUAUUACCUCUUACCAUAAAAAAAAGGGGGGGUUAAUACAUUGAAAAGCCCCAAAUUGGUACAUGUGUAACAAAUUUACCCCAAAUUAAUUUUUUAACUACCAAAAAUCCCAAAUUUGUACACUUUUGACAAAUUUACCCCAAACUAGUACACUUAUGAUAAUUUACCCUAUGAAAAAUUUUACUGUCAAAUUAGAAAGUUGAAUGAUAUAUGACAGUUAACUAGUGUAUCAAUUUACAAUUUUACUCUCCGUUUGUUACAUUUAUACAAUUUUUUGUAAUUUUUUGUGGUAUUAAUCCAAUUUAACAGAGGGUAUAUUUGUCACAAGUAUGCCAGUUUAAGGUUUUUGGCAGUUGAAUAAAUUAGUUUAUGAUAAAUUUGUCAUAAAUAUACUAGUUUGGAGAUUUUAUGAUCAGCUGGGAUAAAUUUAACAUAGAUGUACCAGUUUUGGGUUUUUCAUAAUUAAAAAAUUAAUUUAGAGUAAAUUUGUUACACGUGAAUCAGUUUAAGAGAAGGGAAAUCUAUGAAGUGGGAUAAGAAUCCCAUCUUCGCAGACCUCACAUUACAAAAGUCUCAUAUUUUGUAUCUCAAUGUAUAUAUUUACUAUUUUUUGAAAAAUGCAUAUCAUACUUUUGAAAGGUAGACUGGUUUCGGAACCACCGUAAAUCACAUGCAAUAAACUACAUUUUAAAGGGAAUGGUACCCACUCAUAGUAUAAGUUUUUUAUUGUUGUCAAACUUACAGUUUGACCACAUCUAGGUCAUGUCCCAUUAAUUUCACCCUAGAUAUCUCCUCAAAGCUAAAUUAUAAAAAGUCAAGUAUUUAUCCUAAAGUCCUUAACCAACUUAUUUGCAUAUAUAAUUUCCCAAUAUAAUUCCAACAAUAUGCGAGCCACAGGGCACAUUCACAUGCGAGCUUUACCUAAUUACAAAUAUCUAAUUCUUGUGCAAAUUUUGGUAAUGCACUUCUAUUUUUUCUUAUAUUCUUAUGCAUAAUUCUUCAAUGAACUUAUGCACCCGAAGAAUUGCUUGUACUGAUAUUGCUAUUCAAUCAAAAUUGCAAUUUUAUGUCUCAUUUUUUCUUUUAAAUGAGAGGAUAAACCGAGGGUCUAGAUCCACACUAAAUAAGAAAUCACCUAAACUGUAGAGGACAUUUUGAUUGUUGUGAAUAUUUACUUUGCUAUAAUUUUAUGCAUAUUUGUAUAUUUGUCUCGUGAAGAUUCCUAUCCACACUAACAUUUAGAACAACAUAAGAAAUAUGGUCUUAAACUUAUGCAAUGCAUGAGCAUCUUGCUAGCAAACAUGUAAUAGUGCUAAAACUAUGCUUGGCACGAGGUUGAGCCAUGUGACAUUUGUUAGAAAAACUCCUUACCUACUUUGAAGAUGACUAAACACUUUGUAUGAACUCUCUCUCUCUCUCUCUCUAUAUAUAUAUAUAAUUAAGUGCGUAGAGAUCCUCUUGAUACACAAGAUGAUAAGUAGACAAUGUUAAGAAUGGGACCUCGGUGCUAAUGGAAGGAGAACAAGAUACCAACCAAUAAGUGUUACAAUUGGAAGCACCUCUUGAUUUCGACAAACAAACGAGGGACAUGAAUGAAAAAGUUGUGGAGUUUGAUGAAGGAAAGUGCCGUCAAAACCAAAAUCCAAAGUUCAGAGGAUCCAAGCAAAAAUACCACUUUGGCGUCUCAAGCUGUUUCGACAACCUUAAUGAGGGAUUCUCAAAGGAAAUACCCAAAAUUGAUGGAGAAAAGGCACCCUAUUUAAAGCAACCGUCCAACACACCAUGCACGUGCUAUUAAAGUUAAAGUCCACUCCACCUAUAUUAUAAAGUGUUAAUAAUCACUUUUAUAACAUGUUUUCUAGAUGUGGUCUCGUAGAAUGAAAAUUACAACCUUGAUACUUAUAUUUCGAAAAAUUAUCAGAAAAAAUUCCUAAAAUUAAUGUACAAAUAUCAAUUUAGUAUUAAACAUUUUCAUUUUAUCAAACGAGUCAUAAACUGUCUGUGAUGGAAAAUUUAAGUCCCCAGGCGGCGUGUGCCUAGGGACUUUAAUUCCCCUCAUAUCCAUGCUUUUUCCCUCUCUUUUCAAGUGGAACCCUCCUUGUCGUACUCCAUGUUUAAGUGCACGACAACCAUUGCCAAUGCGUAAGACAAGGAACAGGAUCCUACAUCCUGACUUGAAGGAUCAUCUUGGGGCCAAUUAAAGUCCCCAGGCACACGCCCUAAGUCCCUCCUCACAACUUAAAUCGUGAAAAUGAAAAUGAUCUAUACAUGAGCAUGGCCUCCAAGCAUUUACAAUUCCGGGGAACGAUUAUUACUCUUCAAAAAAAUUGCUUGAGAUCAGGCUAGGUAAGAUUGGAUAUAUUGGAGUUGGACUAGAAAUCCAUAAUUUAUUGGAUUUAUUCUUCGAAAGCGUUUCUUGUGGGAAUUGUUUUUGCAGGGAAAGUUCCAUAGCAACAAUCUCCCAUUGAUGGGAUGAAUAUAAAUGUGGAAAAAAAAAGGAAAAAUUCUUCUUUUUGUCCCAAUACUUUUACGCAUUUUCUAAUCAAGUCUCUCAAAUUUUAGUUUGUCUAAUUAAGUCCUUUUACUUUCACAAACUUUCUAAUCAUACCACUUUGAUGCCAAAUUCGGCCGAAUUACAGUGCAUAAUCAAACUCGGCCAGGAAGUCUUGCCACCGAGCUUGUAGCCCAAACUUAAUUGACAUGGACCGUGGGGGGAAAUGUCCAUGUUGGCAUCCAUAUUGGCUAGAUUUUGUCCAAGUCAUACUCCGAAGUUGUCUACAUCGACUGAAUUUUUCCUCUCAGGAUCACGUAUUUUAAAUGCAUCAUACUUUUGUAGCGUCCGACGAACACGUCGCCUGAAUUUUGUCGGAUUGGGUGUAGGAAUGACAUGAUCAAAAUACUUGUAAAAGUAGAAGCAUUUGAUUAGACAAAUUAAAUUACAUCGACUUGAUUAGAAAAUGAGCAAAGUACAUAGAUGAAAAAUAAAACCUUGUCUUAAAAUAAAAUCAAGCAUCACUUUGUCAAUCAUGCUUGUGAAACCAUGUAUCUUCACCAGUUUCCAUUUCAUCUAACGCGUCUUUCCAAAACUUAACUAGAUGACUCGAAAUGCUUUUCAGAAUAGACCCCACAAGUUUAACUUUUUCCCAAACUCGAUCCCUCCUCGAUUAUCCGAUAUACCCUCCCAUCACGAGAUCAUAACAAAAAGGCCCCUUUAAUGUGCAUACGGAAGCAUCAGCGUCAUAAAGAUUAUGGCAACAAAUAUAGCAAAAGUCCACUUUCUUUUGUGCCCAAAAAGAAAUUUUUCCAACAUUUUCAAUGGUAGUUUAAGGAUUGCAAUUUGUCCCUUCUUCUGAAAUUGCAAAGAAAAAUAUAAAAGGGUCCCGCAUAAUUAAUUGUCGAGAUUAUAUUUAUAGAUCAUGUGUCACAGUCAGAAAAUUGCUGGGGUGUAUAUAUCUAAAAUUUAUUUUUAAAGAAUAUUUAUGUGACGUAUAGGUAUUGAUGGGGUGUCACAGUCAGAAAAUUGCAAUCAACAUAUUCAUCCAAGAAAGAAUUCCUUCAAGAUAGCAGAGCUGGGCAAUCCAACAGUAAAACGGAAGGAAAAGCUUGCUUGCAAUUCACAGCAGUGUCUUUGUCUUUGGGUUAUAUUUCCUUGAGAGCAAGCUUAACUGCUAAGAGUUGUUGAGUGAUAAGUUAGACUCUUGUUGGGCGGUGAAUAUCGACAAGAUAUUUCAAUGCCGACUUGCAGUUUAUCGCAUCAUUCCGAGUGUACUUGUUUAGCGAACCGGUCUUCGUAUUUGUGAAUGACCAUCCAUUUUCUUAAUGCUCUUCAAAAUCACAUCAAAUCAUAUAAUUUGAUCUCAGCAGCAACGUGGACGCUGUUAUCUCCCACAUUCGAUUAGAACUUUUGCCAAAGAAUCGCACAUCACCUACCUGUAUAGUUUCGAUAGGCCUCCUAUUCAUGUAUACUCCUUCAUGCAAACUUUUGAUUGGACAUUAUGACAUGUAUUAGAACCGGAUUUUGUCCCGGUAUCAGGUUCCUUAUUCAUCAAUUUCGUGCAAAAAAAGUGUAUUAAAGUAUUCCGCAUCACUUGUUUAAUGUAGUUUCAAGGGGGCAUAUAUUUAUGGGUUUGAGAAAAGAGUCACGGGACAUAUAAAAAACUGAGGAUGAUCAGCUUCAUCGGGUCACCAUUUCAGGAAAUGAGGAAAUGCCUGUUUCUAGGUUGACAGGCUGUAAUUCACAUGAGACCUUUGCUCUUCUGACAUGACUAUGAUUCUUCCAGGCUUUUCUAGGACUGCUCCAAUUGCUGGAGCGAUGAGAACUUCGCCAGGAUUCAACAUGUUCUUGUUUCUUUCUCUCGCAUUUGCAUUGCUGUCCUUAGGAUCUGGUACCGAUUUCUCUCGUUCACUCCAUCUUCUCAAAUUGUUUUCGAUUGAUCAUUGACCUCGGAGAGCAUUUUCGCUUAAGUUUUAGCAUCCCUUGCUCCAUGUGUUUGAUAAAUUUUCUUGAUUGUUUCAAUGAAGUUGACUGUGACAUUGAUUUACCAAUUGUAAUGUAACAUGAACAAUUGAGCUAAUGCUUUCUCUUUGAAGCCAUUUCAGGGCAAAUCAUGCAGACUGUCUUCGAUGAUUAUUACGAUUCAUCAGCGACAACACAGGCAAGAUCAAAAUCCUACACACUAUUUGCCACUUUUGAGCACAUUCGUAUUUCAUGAGCACUGCUGUUGAGUCAAUUCAAGAACUCGUCCACGAAAUUGGGCGAUCAGAACUUGAGAUUGCCAUCUGAAAAACGAACAAGUUGAAUGAAUUACUCCAAUGAUUUGCUGAUCAGCGCAAUUUUAUUGUGGCCUUGAAAAAGAAAAAGAGUUUCCAGGAAAGACACUGAGCAGAUUCUGUGAUCGGCAUCUUACGUAUUCGAUUAUGGCAGUGUUUGGCAGAGCCAGGGAGUCUUAUGUAUGGAGGUGGGGUCAUACUGAACCCAGAGUUCAUCCAUGGCACUUCCGGAUGGACUGUGCUUGGGGAAGGAGCGACCGAAGUGCGCAUAUCGCAUACCAACAACAGGUUCAUGGUGGCACGCGAUAGGAAACGCCCAACAGACAGUUUCUCUCAGAAAGUCCAACUCGAGAAGGGAAUGUUCUAUGCAUUUUCCGGUAAUUACUCGAUCUGCUGUUUCCAGUGAGAAUGGUUACGUCGGAGCUGUUCAUGUGAAGCCGUAAAUUAUGUGAUGUGGGUUCCCCAUUCACCCGAUAUACUUGUAUAGCGUUUUGUUUAUUUGUGAAGAAUUGCUAAUCGCAGCAUCUCGAAAUGUGAAAAUGCGAUUAAUGACGAAGCUAGGAUGAUCUGUUGCUGUUUGCGCAGCUUGGGUACAAGCCAGUCAAGGAAGCGAGACGGUAGCGGUGGUGUUUCGAACUAGAGAUGGCAAGUUUGUCCGUGGAGGCAGUGUCGUGGCCAAGCAGGGGUGCUGGUCUUUGCUGAAAGGAGGCAUCGCCGCAAAUUCUUCGAGCCCAGCUGAUGUUCUUUUCGAGGUGAAGCUCCUUCAAAUUUCGGUUACAAUCUACUUCAGAAAGACGAGAAUUCGACUGAGUUAAUGCUGGUCUAGUGUUUUCUUUUGUUCGUCCGGAUCAUUGAAAAAUUGCAAGGUACAUGAGUGCUUAUAAUUCCAGGCAUAUGCUGAUUCGGAUUUUGUUGUGGCAGAGCAAGAAUACCCUGACGGAGAUAUGGGUCGACAAUGUCGCGUUGCAGCCGUUCUCGAAGAAGCAAUGGAGGAAUCGCCAAGAAGAAAGCAUAGAGAAGGUAACAUGAAAAGUUUGUGCCAAGUUAGUUCGAAAAACUUGAAGGACCGUCACGAACUUCGAUCUCGCAGGUACGGAAGAGCACAGUGAGGUUCCAGAUAACUUCUGCGAACGAAAGAGGACUCGGGGUCGGAGGAGCCAAUGUUCUCAUCAAACAGAUCAAACCGGGCUUUCCAUUCGGGUGCGGCAUGAACUUCCACAUCCUCGAGAGCGCCGAUUACCAGAACUGGUUCGCAUCGCGAUUCAGAUACGCCACUUUCACCAACGCAAUGAAGUGGUACAGCACGGAGAAGGAACAAGGCCAAGAGGACUACUCAGUGGCCGACGCAAUGCUGAAGUUCGUGCAAGAUAACAACAUUUCGAUCCGAGGCCACAAUGUCUUCUGGGACGAUCCCAAGUACCAGCCCGAUUGGGUCAGGUCCCUUUCACCCGAUGAUCUGCGAAAGGCAGCAGAGAAGAGGAUCAAUUCUGUCGUCUCGCGAUACGCAGGAGAACUGAUUGCCUGGGAUGUGGUCAAUGAGAACCUGCACUUCAGCUUCUUCGAGGACAACCUCGGGGAAAAUGCUUCCUCGAUGUAUUACUCGAUGGCAUACAAGCUCGACCCGACCCCGAGAAUGUUCCUGAACGAGUACAACACCAUCG